GAAUGCUGAUUGGUCAGUGAAGGACUGAUUACAACCAGAGAUCCCAAUUGACGGCAUCCGAAGCAGAACCAGAGAGUCAAAGUAAAUAUUUCGCCCUGGUCUUUAAAACAUUAGCAAACCUCUUUCUAGCAUGUGUAUUGACAGGGAGAACCUUACCUGUCAGCUGUGUUGUCGAUGCCUCGAGAGAACAAAGGAAGUGACUCAGAGCUUGCCGUAAAGCAACAUCUCUGGCCGUAUGAUGUGUAUGACAUCAUUUACAUUUUAAAAGAAUUUUUAAAACAAAAAAGCAACUUUAAAAAUUGUUUACAUCCAGCAGUGUGUAUUUUCUUUGCCUCCCCUUUCGAAUGCAGCAUUCUAAUUACUAGACAAGAAAUUAUAUCCUGAGAAAAGUGGGUUUUGAGAGGUACAGCUCCAUAGAGUCCCAUUCAUUCCGUCACAAAUCCACUAUGUGGAGAGUGACAAGCGGGGGUUUUCUGGAGUCUCUCUCUCUUUUCCUCUCCUCUGCUCGCUCUUCUUCUCCUCUCUCUUAGUGCACUGGGUGUGACAGGCCGCUCCCAGGAUGACGCGCAGCUGCAGGCGAUCUCUAAUCAACUGCCUGUGGCUCAUUAGUGCAGAGUCUUAAAGUGUGGCUGCUCUCUGUUUGGAUAGUUAGUCUUGUCACGUAGGAAUACUACUCUGUCUGCUGUCGCUGUACCUGCUCUGUCUCCUGGGAGGAUUCCCCCACCAGUCCAUUCUGCUAAGAUUCUCAGAUUCAGAAAUAAACUGUUUAAACGUUGA